rnacentral:rRNA from 1 species
UACGUAGGGGGCUAGCGUUGUCCGGAAUCAUUGGGCGUAAAGAGCGCGUAGGCGGCCAGAUAAGUCCGGUGUGAAAGUCAAAGGCUCAACCUUUGAAUGCCGCUGGAAACUGUCUGGCUAGAGUCCGGGAGGGGCGAGUGGAAUUCCAGGUGUAGCGGUGAAAUGCGUAGAUAUCGGAAGGAACAUCAGUGGCGAAAAGCGGCUUCCUGGUCCAGCACCGACGUUCAGGCACGAAAGCGUGGGGAGCAAACAGGG